AGGAGCAGCUGCUCAAGUACUCGCCGGACCCGGUGGUGGUCCGCGGCUCCGGUCACGUCACCGUAUUUGGACUGAGCAACAAAUUUGAAUCAGAAUUCCCUUCUUCUUUAACUGGAAAAGUAGCUCCUGAAGAAUUUAAAGCCAGCAUCAACAGAGUUAACAGUUGUCUUAAGAAGAACCUUCCUGUUAAUACACGAAGAUCGAUUGAGAAGUUAUUAGAAUGGGAAAACAAUAGGUUAUACCACAAGCUGUGCUUGCACUGGAGACUGAGCAAAAGGAAAUGUGAAACGAAUAACAUGAUGGAAUAUGUAAGUUAAAGGGCUGUUUUGUGAGUUUCUCUAUUAAAUGAUCAUUUAUUUUGCUUCUGAUCUUAUUCUUUCCAUGAUUAUUAAUCAGCAAAGGUGUCAGGAGCUUAAUCUCCUGAGCGCAAGGAUUUUCUACGGUUCACAGAUGCAUGGUUUCAUGUGCAAGACUGAUUUAUAAAGUUAUGAAUGACUUGAAAACAAGGCUUCACUGUGUUCUGAAAAAUAAUAAAUUAAUUGCCAAGAUAAAAUAGCCUGAACAUGUGUUGAUGGAGUGUGAAAUUUUAGAUGCUGUAUAAAGAAUAACCACAACUUUGGUUACGCAGCAAGUCAGAUAUGGCUUUUUUAUAUAAUGCUAAUCAGGUUUCCAAGUAUGGAAGAAAACCUUUCAGCCAAGCCACUGGAGCUUAAGAAACCUUUAGCCUUUAUAGAUUUUAACUGCCCAUACCUCCGUGGCCUUUAGAGAAUCUUUCAAAGUGUUAUUGGAAUAUUAUUCUGUAAAAAGUAUCUUAAAAGUAAACGGGAGAUGAGAUGGUACUUAUCCUGUGUUUAUUCGUUAAGUUAUCUAAAUGAGCAUGUAUAUUCAAUGGAUUUUAGAAUGGGAUUUAAUUUGCUGACUACUUGAUUUACUUUAUUUUUCUCCUUUUGAAAAGUUCAGAAUGCUAUAGAAAAUUGUGACUCUUUAUUCUCCCUUGAGUUUGGGUGUUUCAUUUUAAAUAUGGAAAGGUUAUUAUAUUAAAAGAAAAAGAUCUGAGGAAGAGUUAAGUACCUGGAACAUCAUUUCUAACAAAUUUCAUCUAUUCUUUGAAACAGUAUAGCCAUCAUAAGUAGUAUAUAUGUAUGUGUAUAUAUAAAAGAUUGAUUAAAAGAGUGCUUAAAUAGUUGGAAAUUAUCAUACAAUCAUUUUUCUCUGUAGCAUUUUCUCUUUCAUUAUCACACAGUAAAAUCCCAUUUCUAGCCUUGAACAUAAAAGAUGUCUUAAAGAUGUCUCUUUUUUUUUUUUUUAUAGAAUAGCUCUAUUCAGUGAACCAAGUAAUGAAGAUUUUAUCAUUAUUACAUCAAACAUGUUAAUUUAUGAUGAUAAAAAGGCACUUGAUACCUCUUUAUAUAAUAAAAGCACAUUCACAUAACUUAUUUUGAGAUAGACCUCUGGAAAUGCUGGAUUUGAAUUUUCAUCAUAGAUGAUGAGAAAGAUUAUGUAUUUUGUGAGGAGGGAUGGAUAUCUAAGAGAUUUAAAGGCUUUUGUGAAAAAAUACUGACUAUAAACCCAAACACUAAGCUCAAAAUUGAGGCUUUUGUUUAUUUACUUAUUUUUUAUUUACUUAUUUUGCACAUUUCUAAAUUUACUUUGAAAAGGAGAACAACUUAUUCCCAAUUUCUAGAUAGAACUGGAAGAAUGUCAUUCAUUUAUAAAAUAUGCUCAUUAUAUUCAUGUUUAUUUUUUAUUAUUUGUUAUUCAUUUACAUAAUUUACUUCCAAAACAUUCUGAACUAUGUGCUCUGUGUAUAAAAUAGUUUCCUUUAAUUUAUCAUAAAUUUUUAGAUAAACACUUUUCCUAGGGCCAUUAUAUUUUUCACAUCAUCAUAGAAGAUAUCCAGAAGAGUAGCUUUAAAACAUUUGCUUUAAAAAUGUAUUUUUUCUAAAUUUUCACAGAGUGUAUAUAUAUGUGUGUGUGUGUGUGUGUGUGUGUGAGAGAGAGAGUUGAAUGAAGGGAAAACAUAAUUUUUAAAGCUUCCAAAAAUAAUUCUGAAAACUUAAGAUAGUAAAUGAUCUAUCAGAUAUAUAUAUAUAUUUGACCUAAACUUUUCUUUAACUUAGAGAAAUUUCCUUUGUUAAAGGGAAAUAAUUUUCCUCUAUUAUAUUUGAAAUAUUGGAGUCAAUCUAAGAACGUGCAAAUUUGUUACUAACUUUAUUUUUAUAUGUGGCUUCUAAAGAGAAAAGUUUGUAGGAUACACUCUUUAAAAACUAGUAAUGAUUCGAAUAUAAUCAAAGAUAGCUUUUAUUAUUCAUUAUAUAGUAUACACUAUAAAAUAUAAUUUAAUCAAAUUUUAGAGCUGCAAUGAGUCUUGUCAUCUAGUCCAACCCUCUUAUUUUAUAGAUGAGGAAACUGAGGAACAGGAGAAUCUAGCUCAAAUGAGGAAGCUGGAUCGGAAGCUAGUAAACAUUUUGUCGGCAAAUAACAGGUCAAAAGAGUGGCACAGGGGGCACCUGAUAGUAAAUCAACUAAGAAGGGAAUAUUUUUGAGCCAUGUGUAGAAAUACCUUCUUUAUUGAGAUAGAUCAAAGCCCAGGAAAACUGAAGAGUGAAAAUGAAGGUUUCUGACCCAGAUGACUAAAUGUGGAAGAGUAUCCAAACCUGGAGGUCAUAUCAAGACACCAGUUCUGAAAAAGAAUGAAGAGUUGGAAACUGUUCAAAUCAAAUAAUUUUUUUGUUUAGCAUCUAUUCCAUACAGAGUUUGAACAAAGGGAAGAAUCAAUUACAAUUUAGGAUAGUUUCAAGUUUGGAGUGAAAAUUAGUUCUGGUCAUCUAGUGUCAUUCUGUGUUACUAUGUUUUGUUUUUGUUGAUUUCCUGUAGUUUCCUAGUGAAAAGUUCUCUGCAACAAAUUUUAACCUUUAAUUUUGCUAACCCUAAGAAGAAUAGGAUAUUAAAAAAAAAAUUAAAGAGGUAAAGGACCAAUCAGUAGUCUUUGUCUAGAGAUCCCAUAUCCUGGUACUGUAAAAUGAGAGCAACUCUAGAACCCUAAAGACCCAUGGAAUGGGGCGUUAGAUAAAAUGAGAAAGCCUGAGGAACUGGGUCAGCUGCAGCUACAUAUGGCAGUAGAAAGAGCAGAGCUCUGGAGUUAAGCUAGACCUUUGUUCAAAUGCAAUCCAUGGUGUGACACUUCUUAGACCAUUGGUUUUCUCAUCUGUAAAAUGAGGAUGAUAGUGUUUGAAUCGUCGAAAGUUGUUGUGAUUAAAUAGAUCUAUGUAGAAUGAAACACUUGAUAGGUUAGGUAGUUCUCAGUAAAUGCUAGCUCCUUUUUUCAUUCAUGCAUGCGUGCAUUUUCCUGUUUGUCAGAGGCACUAUUAAAAUUGUUUGUAAGUGAUGGAAUGUAACUGAAGUUUUUCUGAGAUAAAAAUCUUUUAAAGUCUUUUUAAAACUUUUUUUUCUCCUCCUACAGGUCAUCCUCAUAGAAUUUUUACCAAAGACACCGAUUUUUCGACCAGAUUAGCAUUUGCUUUAUUUAUAGAGACUUUCCAAGUAUGUUGUCUUUCCAAUGGUGCCUUGCUUGGUGCUCUCCUGGUGGUGACAUAGCAUUGGUUCUACAGAAUCGUGUGGUGUUUUUUUGUUUUGUUUGUUUGUUUUGUUUUUUAAUAACCGCAUGUUCUAAGUGUGCAUUUUUGUCAAACUUUGCAACAGUUAUUUCAUACAGAUGUUUAAUACUUAAGUUAUUGUGCUCUUUUCUGUUAUGUAUUCUGAUUUUCAAGGAUUACUUUUUUGUAUUAUCAAAAAAAAAAUACAUUUGAACUUAGC
rnacentral:lncRNA from 1 species